rnacentral:rRNA from 1 species
CUACGGGUGGCUGCAGUGGGGAAUCUUGCGCAAUGGGCGAAAGCCUGACGCAGCAACGCCGCGUGCGGGAAGAAGGCUUUCGGGCUGUAAACCGCUUUCAGUAGGAACGAAACUGACGGUACCUACAGAAGAAGGAGCGGCCAACUAUGUGCCAGCAGCCGCGGUGACACAUAGGCUCCAAGCGUUGUCCGGGUUUAUUGGGCGUAAAGAGCUCGUAGGCGGUUGAGUAAGUCGAGUGUGAAAACUUCGGGCUUAACCCGAAGACGCCACUCGAUACUGCUCUGACUUGAGUUCGGUAGGGGAGUGGGGAAUUCCUUGUGUAGCGGUGAAAUGCGCAGAUAUAAGGAGGAACACCGGUGGCGAAGGCGCCACUCUGGACCGAAACUGACGCUGAGGAGCGAAAGCGUGGGUAGCAAACAGGAUUAGAUACCCUUGUAGUC